UCGCCUGUUUAUCAAAAACAUCUCUUAAUCUUUAAGUAUAACCUGCCCAGUGAAAAAUUUUAAACCGCCAACAUAUGCUAAGGUAGCAUAAUAAUUUGCUUUAUAAUUGAAAGAUAGAAUGAAUGGUUUUUCUAAAAAAAAUUAUUUUUCUCACAAAUUGAAUUUUUUUGCUAAUGAAAAUUUUAGCAUUGGUUUUUUAGACGAUAAGACCCUAUGAAGCUUUACUGAAAAAUCAGUUUUUUUGGGGCAAAAAUAAAAAUUUUUAUUUAAUUUUAGAAAAAUUUUGAUCUUUUUAAAUUUUAAGAAAAAGCUACUCUAGGGAUAACAGCAUAAUUUUAAAAAAAGUUCUUAUUAAGCUUAAAGUUUGUGACCUCGAUGUUGA
rnacentral:rRNA from 1 species